AAGAAAUUGAGUUUUCCUUUCUUUCUUUUGUUGCUUUAAAGCUGAUUCAUGCAUGUUUAUGUUAGUAUACAGAGCUUUAAACAAGAUUAAAAACUAAGGAGUGAAAUGUCCUCUAUGAACAGAGAUACAAGUAAUGGCCGGUUUAGCUAUUGGUGUUUCCAGCAUCAAGUCUGGUGAACGUGCGCUCUUGCAUGUUUGCUGGGAAUUUAGCAUAUAGGAGAGAUGGAAACUCUUCUUUUUCCCAAUGUUCCAUCUAUAGCGGAAUUGUUAGAUGACGCUGAAGUUGUUGGAUUUGAUGAAACAAAGGAGGAACGUUUUUUCUUUAAGAUCAUUUGCUGAUUCUUGUUUCCUUACCUGAACACUCCACAACCAAGCUUUUAUCCCAAGCUCUUUGCUUAUAGCUGACUUAGAGGUUGGAUUGUACAGGGAAAAGCUCGCAGUGAUAUGACUAUGGAGGAAAGGUUUGGUGCAGCACACAGAAGGAAAAUGGAUGGGGCUCUCUGUUUAAGGAGGAUAAAUUGGAGGAGGCCAAUACGAAAUGGUUAGGAAUCUCUCUUUCUUUCUAACAAUUACGGUCAAAGUUUUGGUUUUCAAGGCAUACUCAGCGACUCUGCCCGAGGCUCUUGCAUCUCCUUUCGGCUCUAAAACAAAGAGCCUUAACUGGUUGAUAGUGUUAUCGCAAUGGUUGGUUUGCCUUUUCUGCCGGAGUUAAAGCAGAUAAAGAGAAUUUACAAGGAGGAGCUAGCUUAGCUACUACCAUGAAGAUUUGGGGAAGCUGAGAUGUUGCCAGGAGAAGUAAGCACAAACCAAUAGUUGAGAGAUAUAAACAUAAACAGCAAAAGAGAGACUCAUAAGCAUCAGGUCCUUGACGUCUCCUUUCUUCUUCUCUGGCUUCAGAUUCUUCCCAAUCUUCCCAGCCUCUGAAAUCAUCCUUCUCAAUGUUCUCUGGAUCACUCCUUCAUUCUCUUCUGGUAAUUUCUGCUUCCGACAAGACAUCACUCUCAUAGAUCUAACUCCGUGUCUGCUUGAGGCUUGUCUCUUUGUACGGUGGUUAGUGCAGAGUGGGUGGUAGUAGAAGGUGGUGGAGAGAGCCGCCAUGAGAAGAUGAAUAGAAUAAUUGAAGAAAGUUUUUUGUUUUGGGAAUCAAAAGUGAGCAGGAAAAUAUCAGAAUCUUGAUAGCUUAACGACAAAAAUGAUUUGAAAAAUGGGUGGAUAGAUCUCAUCUAACACACACACAUGUAGUCACAAGGUAAUCAGGUAUAGUCGGAAGCAUCUACAAAUUCACAACAACAACACAUUAUGUCUGACUGGUGAGAUAAAUGAUGACUGAGUGGAUAAGCAAAGAAUAAAAUAAUGUCAUAAAGUCAACAACAUGUCUCUGUGACUCUAUCUCUAUCCUAUUAUUAGAUUUAAUCAGAUAACUUUAAAAUCUG
rnacentral:lncRNA from 1 species